UUUCAACAAUUUUAUUGACAACACCCAAAGAAGAGUUUCAGGUCUUUGCCCUUUAAACCAUGGGUCAUUUUUAUCCUUUCUCAGCCCUCUUCAAGGAACAUGUGUAAAUACAAGUUGCUAAAACCUCACUUACACAGCUUAGUGCUUCAAAGAACACAAAGGAAAUGACAUCAAAAUAAAUCAAUCACAGCAAGUCUUCUCAAUGCUUGCUUUCUAUUUCAAUGAGCAUUUGUUUGAAGUCAAAUACAAGCAGAAUAUAUAAAUGACUAUACUUUUAAUGCUUAGGACCUCAUUUUGUUGUCAUGGACAAACAUAUGUAACAAACUUAUUUUUGACCCUUGUUGUCAAAAGGUGAUGGCCUUUACUGUUAGCAUUAAACUUAUCAGUCUUCUUGGCUCCAGGAAGCACACCAGUUCCCUUGGAAGCCUUCCUCACACUGUCUGAAGUGGCAAAAGCAGCUUCUCUGAAGCUCCCCGAUGCUCUCAAAGGACAAGCCACUAAGCUGUUUGUCCUUUUUCCAUCUCCUUCAGUUCUUUUUUUUCUCAGUUCUAGUUUCUAGUUCUCAGUUUGCUUCCCUCAAGCUCCUGCCAUUAGGUCUGAGAAACUACACUGACUGGUCCUUAUCUUGCCUCUGCAUCAGUGAAUCACCUGCGUUAAUCAAUUUAGGCUGAAAACAGUCACUCCAAGUUUUUCUGGAUUGACUAUUCCACUGAGUAAUCAGGUUAAGGUUUAACUUCAAUUCCUGUUUUUUUAGUAUUCAUAUAAUCUUAAAAUAGAUGAACACACCUCUGAAAAGUUCUUUAUGCUUUUUUAGAGAUUGUGUGUACAACUACUUUAUCUCCCAAUAUCCAAGUUUUUAUUUUUCAGUAUCAUUUUCCACUAAAGAGAACAGGAAUGUUCUUGUAGGAAUGAUAGAUUCCACAUCUGAGGCAAAAAUGUAUCAGGCAUGCCUGGAACAGAAUAAUGGAGCAGGGGAGAAUGUGAAUAGGAUUAUAGACUUAAAGAAAAAUAAGACGGACAUGAUCUUAUAAUUGCUGAGACUCUGUGUUCAGGACAUGAGGUGGUCUUCAGGAAAUACCCUACUAUUGUACAUUUUUAAACUAAAAUCCUACAAGGAAAAUUUCUCUUGCUAAUCCCUGCCCCUAAGAGCAAUCUCUGUAACAAUUUCAAUAAAAGUGUAAGCAUAUAUAUGUAAUCCACGAUUUUUAAAACCACAACUGGUAGUUUAUUAUACACAUUUUUUCUCUGACUGAUGGCAUUUUAUGUUAACAUUAUUUAAACAUCUUUUAAACAUUAUUUUUGCAGGCCUGGAGAGAUGGCUCAGGCGUUGAAGAGUACUUGCUGCUCUUACAGAGGACUACAGUUUGUUUCCCAGGGGCCCAGAUUGGUGACUCACAACCCUGUAACUCCAGCUUCAGGGGCUCUAUCACCCUCUCUGGCUUCUCUGGAUAUUAGAACACUACCAUACAUACAGACAUUCACAUAAAUAUUUUUAUGACAAAGUCUCGUUAUACAGUCUUGGCUGGCCUAGUAUUCACUAUAUAGACAACUCUGGUCUUGAAUUUACAGAGAUCUGCCUGCUUCUGACUUUCAAGUGGUAGGAUUAAAGGGGUACACCAUCAUGCACUGCUAAAUAAAUCUUUAAAAGAAUUUUUUUUCCCAGUACUAGGAAUUGAACCUAGAGCUUCACAUAGGUGUCCAAGGGUCCUGAGCUAUGUCUCCAGACUUUUGUGUAGGGGUGGUUUUAAGACAGAAUCUCACCAAGUUACCAAGUUACUCUAGCUAAUGAAGAAAGCAAUUGUGAUCCUAUCCGCAAGAGCAGCUGGGAUACAGGUGUUCCAAAAGCCACAUAACAGCUACUUUUAAUAUACAAAUAUGUCUAUGCUUUAUAGUAUUUUGCGGUUUAUAACUUACAUAUUGAGCUUCUUUCAAAUCUUUUUGCUGUGACCAAGAGAGUUUGGCCCAACUGUUCACCAAUUUCAGGGUUAUAUACCAACAAAACAAAACGGUUGAAAUAGGGCUAAUCAGGUUGCUGUAUCUAAUCUUCAAGUAGCUUAUAAAUUUAGAAUUCAAGUUUUGGGGAAGGGCAUUCUUAUCACCUUGUAAAAUGUCCUGUUUUAAAACACAUUCUCUACUCAGUCUUAGAAGAUGUAAAUACCAAAAUCUUUCUCAUCUCUCCUAGGUACAUUUUUGGGAAGACUGCAAAAAGCCUAUUUCCUCUCACCAGGAGGUAAACGCUAGUGGGAUAGACUACGCAUCUAAUCUCAUGAUCACCAGUAUUACAUAAGCUUAAGAGAUUCAGGUGCAUGGGGUCGCAGAGGUGGGAGACGGGAGGCGUUUAGACGGGAAUCACGGUUAAAGGAGUCAAAGGAAGUGGAUAUAGGAGGGAGCAAGGUGGCCAUGUUACUGGGUCCUACUAUGGAUUAAUCGGAGUGCUGGAGUCCUAGAAACGAGAUAAAUGUAGUGUCCGCACAGUGAGAAGUGUGACACAUUAAAGCAAAGCACAGCUAUAUUAUGUCUCACACAUCUUUUAUAAAUGCAAACCUUACAGGGAUUCACAACAUAAAGCAGGAAGCAAAAAUCUGCAAGUGGUCCUGCAGGUCGGACCAGUAAGUGGGCUUGCAGGACACUGCGGGCCCUAAGGCGGCCACUGAGACUGGCCAGGGCUCCGCGGCGCUGUUCCCUGUGUCCGCGGGCGGGCAGUGACUCGGUACCGCCCAGGGCGUCAGCGUGACCCGAGGCUCUGUGAACCCUGAACUCACCGCCCCAGCGGGCCGCACAGACCGGGGCAGGCGUUUUCUCGCGCACGGGGGUGGGGCUUUUUCAGGCAGCUAACUAAGAUGGUGUCGGCUGGACUGUCCGGGACAGCUGCCUAGGCGGAUCGAGUGAGGGCCAGCAGCCGGAAGGACCACCGAGCCCAUUGUCCCGCCCAGACAGGACAGUGAGGAGCCCGCAAGUUCCAGACUCGAAGGACCGAAGCACAGGCAAGUACGCCGUAAGGACCUAACAAAUGUUUAAGAGAACGCCGAAAGCGCGGGGAGGCGGGCCUGACUCACUGUCACCAUCUCGCGACAGCAAAGUGACGUCGCACAGCAAGCGCGUGGUCUUAGUCUUUCACCUUCAGACGCCUCAGUUUAUGGGCCUACUCCUUUAAGUGAGUGAUGGACAGCGCUUUUAUCCAAUCAUGUUCCUCGUCAACAUCCAAUCAGAUUUAAACUUUCUUCAGCCGCCGGAGAAGUUGGAAGACUGGGGUCGAAAGAGAGCGAGCGAGUGAGCGAGUGAGCGAGCGAGCUCUUUGUCUCUCGCGAGAUCGGAGAGAGCCAAAUUCUCAGGAAAAAACGCCUGAACUGAUGUCCAGACUUCCCGAUAGUGAUUUAAAAGACGUGGCCACAAACCAAUGAAAGGGAAGAGAAGGUGGGAUCGCUGCGUUCGCCGUGCUAGAAGUACCGUUACAGGGCAGAGUUUUUGUCCAAUCAACGCUUCUAGGCUUUGGGUCAGGUGACCAUGAAGUGCGAGGGGCGGAGCUACAGCCUGGCGCGAGGAACCGUUAAGAUAGACAACGAAUAUAACCAAUGAGGUACUGGGAUUAGGGCGUUGGGAACCCAAUAACAGCGUCGGGGCGGGCGCCUUCCCGGAGCGCGGGGAGAUGUAAAGACGGACAAAUAGUUUUUCCAAUGAGAAGGCUGAAGAGUGAAUUAAUUGACCAAUGAGGUCUGCGGGGCGGGAGCCUUUGCCGCGGCGGAGUCCAAGAUGGCGGCGUGCGAGUCCGCUGUGUGAAACGAGCGCGGGGUGGCGGGUUAGUCAGCUCCGCAGAGACGACCUCCGGCGACCCUCAACAAUGAAAGGAAAGGAGCGCUCGCCGGUCAAGCCCAAGCGCUCCCGUGGCGGUGAGGACUCCAGUUCUCGUGGGGAGCGGAGCAAGAAGUUAGGGGGCUCCGGCGGCAGCAAUGGGAGCAGCAGCGGGAAGACGGACAGCGGCGGGUCGCGGCGGAGCCUUCAUCUGGACAAGUCCAGCAGCCGGGGCGGCAGCCGCGAGUACGAGACCGGCGGGGGCAGCUCCAGUAGCCGCUUGCACAGUUACAGCUCCCCGAGCACCAAAAAUUCCUCAGGCGGGGGCGAGUCGCGCAGCAGCUCCCGGGGUGGAGGCGGGGAGUCACGUUCCUCCGGGGCCGCCUCCUCCGCGCCCGGCGGCGGGGACGGCGUGGAGUACAAGACCCUGAAGAUCAGCGAGCUGGGGUCCCAGCUGAGCGACGAGGCGGUGGAGGACGGGCUGUUUCACGAGUUCAAACGCUUCGGUGAUGUAAGUGUCAAAAUCAGUCACCUCUCAGGUUCUGGCAGCGGGGAUGAGCGGGUAGCCUUUGUGAACUUCCGGAGGCCAGAGGACGCGAGGGCGGCCAAGCAUGCCAGAGGCCGCCUGGUGCUCUAUGACCGGCCUCUGAAGAUAGAAGCCGUGUACGUGAGCCGGCGCCGCAGCCGCUCCCCGUUAGACAAAGAUGCUUACGCCCCGUCAUCCAGCGUGGUCGGGACCUCAGUCGGUAGCCACCGGCACGCCCCUGGAGGAGGGGGAGGUCAGAGGUCGCUUUCCCCUGGAGGUGCUGCUCUGGGAUACAGAGACUACCGGUUGCAGCAGUUGGCCCUGGGCCGCCUGCCUCCUCCACCCCCGCCACCAUUGCCCCGAGAGCUGGAAAGAGAACGAGACUAUCCGUUCUAUGACCGGGUGCGCCCGGCCUACAGCCUGGAGCCGAGGGUGGGAGCUGGAGCAGGUGCGGCUCCUUUCCGAGAAGUGGAUGAGAUAUCACCUGAGGACGAUCAGCGUGCCAACCGGACACUUUUCUUGGGCAACUUAGAUAUCACUGUGACGGAAAAUGAUCUCAGAAGGGCUUUUGAUCGUUUUGGAGUCAUCACAGAAGUGGACAUUAAGAGGCCUUCUCGAGGCCAGACCAGUACCUAUGGCUUUCUCAAAUUUGAGAAUCUAGACAUGUCUCACAGGGCCAAACUUGCAAUGUCUGGCAAAAUUAUAAUUCGGAAUCCAAUCAAGAUUGGUUAUGGUAAAGCCACACCCACUACCCGACUUUGGGUGGGUGGUCUGGGACCCUGGGUGCCUCUUGCUGCCCUGGCACGAGAAUUUGACCGAUUUGGCACCAUUCGAACCAUAGACUACCGUAAAGGUGACAGUUGGGCAUAUAUACAGUAUGAAAGUUUGGAUGCAGCUCAUGCUGCCUGGACCCAUAUGCGUGGAUUCCCACUUGGUGGCCCAGAUCGUCGCCUCAGGGUAGACUUUGCAGACACAGAACAUCGUUACCAGCAGCAAUAUCUUCAGCCUCUGCCCUUGACCCACUAUGAACUAGUGACGGAUACUUUUGGACAUAGAGCACCUGACCCUUUGAGGAGUGCUCGGGACAGGACACCACCCUUACUAUACAGAGAUCGUGAUAGGGACCUUUAUACUGAUUCUGACUGGGUGCCACCCCCACCACCGGUUCGAGAACGCAGUGCUCGGGCUGCAACUAGUGCUGUCACUGCUUAUGAGCCACUAGAUAGCUUGGAUCGAAGGAGGGAUGGCUGGUCACUGGACAGGGACAGAGGUGAUCGGGACUUGCCCAGCAGCAGGGACCAGCCAAGGAAGCGAAGGCUGCCUGAGGAAAGUGGAGGACGGCAUCUUGAUAGAUCACCUGAGAGUGAACGGCCUCGAAAACAGCGUCACUGCACUCCUUCUCCUGACCGAAGUCCAGAACUGAGCAGUAACAGAGAUCGCUACAACAGUGACAAUGAUCGAUCAUCUCGUCUUCUCCUCUUGGAAAGGUCUUCCCCAGUCAGAGAUAGACGGGGCAGUUUGGAGAAGAGCCAGAGCGACAAGCGAGACCGUAAAAACUCUGCAUCAGCUGAACGGGAUAGGAAGCAUCGGACAGCUGCUCCCACAGAGGGAAAAAACCCUCUGAAAAAGGAAGACCGAUCUGAUGGCAAUGCACCCAGUGCCAGCACUUCUUCAUCAAAGCAGAAGCCACCUUCCCAGAAACAGGAUGGAGGGACAGCUCCUGUGGCAGCAUCCUCUCCCAAACUCUGUUUGGCUUGGCAGGGCAUGCUUCUACUGAAGAACAGCAACUUCCCUUCCAACAUGCAUCUGUUGCAGGGUGACCUCCAAGUUGCUAGCAGUCUACUUGUGGAGGGCUCAACUGGAGGCAAAGUGGCCCAACUCAAGAUCACUCAGCGGCUCCGUUUGGACCAACCCAAGUUGGAUGAAGUAACUCGACGCAUCAAAGUGGCAGGGCCUAAUGGUUAUGCCAUUCUCCUGGCUGUACCUGGAAGUUCUGACAGCCGAUCUUCCUCUUCCUCAGCCACAUCAGACACUGCCGCCUCUACUCAGAGGCCACUUAGGAACCUUGUGUCCUAUUUAAAGCAAAAGCAGGCAGCUGGGGUGAUCAGCCUCCCUGUGGGAGGCAAUAAAGACAAGGAAAACACCGGGGUUCUUCAUGCCUUCCCACCUUGUGAGUUCUCUCAGCAGUUCCUGGAUUCCCCUGCCAAGGCACUGGCCAAAUCUGAAGAAGAUUACCUGGUCAUGAUCAUUGUCCGUGCAAAACUGGUGAACAGCGGAUGAAGAUACGGAAUUCAAAGCUCUAAUGGACCUUUUUGAAGAGAAGUGGCUUAUGUGGAGUUUACAUGGGCCUCUGAUGGAAGAAAGCUAAUCUGUUUAGUAUUUUGUGCAUUUUACUAAAAUGGCAGCUUAACAUUGUGUAUCUGCUAUUGUGAUGCCAAUGCCGGUGUUUUAAGUGGAAAAAUGACCUCUUUGCUUUGUGCUGUGUACACAAGAUUUCUGGAAAAGUAAAGAAAAACCCUUUUUAUGGCUCACACAGCUUAAAAGUAGCUGUCACUCAAACAUGGGCUCACAGUUGAGCUGCUUUUGUUUUAUUCUAAAUAAAUUGUUUCUUUUGAGGAAAAUGUUUUUCUGCCUGGAAGUGAAUUGACGGCAAACCUUGACCCCUUUGUUUGCAGCGGAGGGGGUACUUGCUGCUGCUCAGAUUUUGUAUGUCUUGAGCAAGAAGCAGGGAGAUCAUCAGUUUCCUUUUGACUAUCACGGUGUGUCAAUUCUGAAGGAUCAUAGUGUUACAGUGACCCCCUUUGUUUGCAGUGAAGGGGAUCCUUUGCUUCUCGGUCCUCAACACGAUGAGGGUGCUGUUUGCUGGCAUGCAAGAAGCCGGGGCAAGCACUCUAAGCCUCAACACAGUGCACGAGUCGGGGGCUUUGCUGGUUUGAAGAGCCGGAGUUCCUGAAAUUUAAGUUUUGAUUUAUUUUGUUCACCCAUCACGUUUGGCUUUAGUUUCAUUUUUUAAUUUGAAGAAAAGUUUGAAAUUGCAUUAUCUUGCACUUUUAACAUUUGCACCAAAUUGCCAAAAGAAGGAGAAAUGCUCCGGUUGCCUUUUAAAUGUUAAUGAUGAUGUUAAUAAAGCCUUUCCUGACACAUUUGAGGAGCUCCUCCGUCUCCAGGGGCUUCUUACCAGAGUUAUGCAGUGAUGGGUUUAGUUCUGAAUGGAUGAAGAGUUCCUGAGAGCUAGCAUUUGUAAUUAGAACCGUUACUUGGUAUCUGUGCCUUAUUUGACCUGUGGUUCCACAUGCCUUGGAUGUGCAUGCACCGUGACGGUUUCAUAGGUUCGAACGCACACUCAGGCCCAGUCACUUCGGUUGGUAGUACAGAUUGUGAGGAAAAAAAUGGAGGCAUCCUUAAGGAGGAUUUUGUUUGCCUUUAGUUCCUGCAUUAUCCUGUACAGGGGCUCUUGAGCUUUGGAAGCCUGUUCCCAGAGCAGGAGAAAAACUCCCCUGUUUGCAGCAGGAUACUUCGGUGCACAGUGACAACGCUGGAGUUCAAGAGGAAGCCAGCAAUUCUGCACCUUUGGCUUCAGACACCAUGGUUGUUUGCCAGUUUUAAAACUAAUAGUUGCAGACGAAGACCACCUUGACAUGCAGGCUUGUUGGGCUUGUUUUGAAUUUUAACCUCGGAUGGAAGAGCCCUAGUGCUGUCUUGUCUCCAUGCGGGAUGAUAGGCAACAGGUGAUUAUCAACCAAGGAUGCCACGAUUAUACUCUACAAGGUGGUGUUCCAGUGGUAAACAGCUGUUUAAACUUGUAAACAGGUAAGAGGGUUUUUUAGAGGUCAAAAAUAUAAUUACUAGGGUGAGGGCACGUAAUGCUUUCGUUAUGUUUCUCUCUUGGAAGUCUGUAGACAUUGCUGGUGUUAAGCUCCCUCCCCUCACUUAGGUAUUUACAAAAUUCUGCAGCUUUGUUCUUGGUAAUUCUUCUGUGCUUUAUUUUAGAGUAUAUUUUGUUACCUGAAAAAAAAUAUUUUAAUGUGGGAGCCAAAGUGUCAGCAUUUGAUUACAGACUUGAGCCUUGCUGUCUUAUUAAAGUUUUUGACAUUUGUCGUUAACCUUAGUGUUCACCUUUCGUGGUGAUUUAAUGGUGCUAGAGGACUUAUGGCUAUCAAACACAAGGUUUUUUUCUUUUACUAUUGGAAAUGAUAAAUAUUUUAUCCAAAAUGGCCUUACAUUUAUCUUGCUGUCCCUCAGAGAUUAAUUGUGAAAUUUAGGCAACUGCAACUUGAGGGAAAUGAAUGGGCAGUGUUUUCUGACUUUGGUCUUACCGCUUUCAUUUGUUCAGUUAUCCUAAUAGCCUGAGCAUCCUUCCUGCACAUUAAUCAAGUAAGCAAGUACAGCUUUCUUUGUAUAUCAUACAACUUCCUCACUUUGUUUUAGAUGGGUUUGGAUAUUUUAGAACUGUUUAUCACUUCCAUAAGAUUUAGGGAAUCUGGUGACUCUAGCAGCUAGUCUGUACUGGCUACUUUCCCCCAUAGGUUUGUUUGGGCCCCUUGGAUGAUUUCGCCUCACAGCUGCUUAUGUGUCACUGAUAAGUGAGAGGGACAAAAUGAGAAAACCAGAACUUUUCAGGUUCUUGGUGUGUUAAGGUUUUUAAAAGAUGCAUUUAUUUCAUGUAUGUGAGUACAGUGUUGCUGUCUUCAGACAUACCAGAAGACGGUAUUGGAUCCCAUUACAGAUGGUUGUGAGCCACCCAUGGUUGCUGGGAAUUGAACUCAGGCCCUCUGGAAGAGCAGUCAGUGCUCUUAUCCCCUGAGCCAUCUCUACAGCCCAUGUUAAAGUGUUUUUAAGCCAAGUUUGCUUAUGAGGUAGUUCACGUAAGGCUUUGCUUAUUGAGCUCUCCUUGCAUCUCCAAGCAGUUCUUACCUGUUGGUAAUUUCAUUAUAUUUUCUCUCUUGCUAGUCAAGUAAUUUACCAAUUAGUAGGCAAAUAUUUUUUAAUAUAUUUAUUUUAUGUAUAUGAGUAUACAUACAUUUAUUUUAUGUAUAUGAGUAAGCUAUUGCUGAAACAUCUGAAGAUUACAGAUGGUUGUGAGCCACCAUGUGGUUGCUGGGAAUUGAAUUCAGGACCUUUGGGAAAGCAGUUGGUGCUCUUAACUGCUGAGCCAUCUCCAACUCAGUAGGCAAAUAUUUUACCUGGAGAAUUAUGUUGUGCUGCUUAACUUUCUGAGGUCUCAGGCUUCAUCUCAACAAUGAGGGAAAACUUUAAAAUCAGCAUUUUUGUUUUUUGUUUUUUUUCGAGACAGGGUUUCUUUGUGUAGUCCUGGCUGUCCUGGAACUCACUUUGUAGACCAGGCUGGCCUCGACUCAGAAAUCCGCCUGCCUCUGCCUCCGGAGUGCUGGGAUUAAAGGCAUGUGCCACCACGCCUGACUUUAAAAAUCAGCAUUUUUAAAAUGUAUUAUAUAAAACCAUAUGCCAAAUGAAGGUACACAGUGUAACAACUAUUCUGAAACUGGUAUUCAUGAAAUUUAGUGUUCUUAGCUGCAUUGAAGGAUAAUUAACUGAUGGAAUGUUCUGAUUUUAAAAUGUGGAGGCUACCCUUUGAAUUUAUUUGUAUGGUUUCCCAGUGUCUUUAGUAUAAUCUAGAUGUAGCAUAUUCUUCCUGGAGACCUCUGAAUUGAAUUCAUUUUUAAAAGCUUAGCAAUGGUUAAAAUUGGAAAGAAGUAUUUACCUUAAGUAAAACAACCUAGAUUUUGUAUAUUGCUAUGAAAUAGCUUAAGUAAGUUGGUUACAAGUCUUUUUGAGUUUGUUUCAAACUCAAGAUCUUCCUGCCUCUGCUUCUCCGAGUGAUGAGUUUAUAGCAUGUGACACAUCAGGCUUUACAGCACCUUAAUACUAACUUGGACUUAUUGAAUGGCCAGGUCUUGGGGGAAAAAAGUUCUGAACUUAAAGACUUAAAGUAUUUACCAUGCUUCAAUUCAGUUGAUUGUAAUAUCCAUGAGUUUUUAACAGUUUGAAUAUUGACUAUGUAUUAGGAACCAAGAUUCUGAGAGUAGGAAAUAGAAGUAUCAGGUAGUUUCUACCACUGUAUAACAAUGGUGUAUACUACUUAAGAGCUAUACACUUAAGGAACUGGAUAUAACAAGGUUAAUAAGCACUAGGGAAACGUUUAGCAGUUUACGGUAAUAGGAAAGGUGUAAUAGGUUAGUUGCUAAUGUUUUAUUUUUCUUUCAUAGAUAAACAAUGGAUAUGGCUAUAUGAAUAGGUUUCUCAAGUUGGGAUGGAUAAGAAAGGCUUAACAAAAGUUUAUUAGCAGAGGGUAAGGAAUGGUGGAGGGAAUUUGAUGGACAGGUUAGACAAACACAUGAAUAAUAAAUAAUAUAGCAACUUAGUGAAUGGAAAAGAUGCACAGACUAAGUCCUGGAAAAGGUGAUUGAUUGGGUCAACCAGGAUAGGAAAUUCCAAAGGGCAAGCAAAUUUGAGGAGAUGGGAGUGAAGAUAGAUCAUUGAUAGCAACCAUUUACUAAUUACUAAAUGCCAAGCAUCCUGCAAAGUCUACACAUUGCCUUAUUUAACUUUUCUACAUUCUAAUCUGACACUUUGGACCCAGGAUUCUAGCCAAGCCUUUGUCCUGGCUAGAUGGCUCUCAUGCUCAUUAAUUUGCCUCACUGGUUGGUUGGUUGGUUUGUGUUUUUUUGUGGAAGCUCAUUAAUUUGCCUCACUGGUUGGUUGGUUGGUUUGUGUUUUUUUGUGGAAGCCAUAGAUAGGAUUAAAGCUGUAAACUUGAGAAAAAUGUGUGGGUGUUUAAUUGCAAAUGAUAUUGUAUUAACAUUUGCAGUAUUUAAAAAGUAGGCUCUUUGUUCCUCCAUUCUAGCUACUUUGAAAUUUGUUAAGGACCAGCAUGGUCUGGGAGUUUGUUCCUUUACAAGCUUCUCAGAUAACUGCUGUGUUCUGUGGUUGUUGGCUAUUAGUUAAAUAACACUGACCUGAGAGCAUAGAGUGCAGAGGUAUAAACCAAGGUAAUAUGUUUGAGGAAUGAGAAAAGAAGGUGACUUGAAUUGAAGUAUAGGUAGGAGAUCAAAAAGGUUAUGUUUCAGGGCUGAGAAGCGGAGAUCCCCAGAAGUUAAGCUUAAAAUUGUUGCAGCAAACAGAACAAAACUGUAAAUACUCUUCAUUUAAAGUUGCUACCUAAGUGCUGCAUGCUGUGACGCAUGCAUGCCUACUGUCUCAACACUUGGGAGGCAGAAUAAAGUUCAAGGCCAGUCUGCAGUAUUACAUGGCAGAAUCCAGUCUCAAAAUGAAACAGGAAAGAUUUGUCAUUUAAGUAGCAGUUUUAUAAUCUGUUAUUUCUUCAAGGUACUAAUUCUUGCUUAGUAUUUAAUUUGCCUUACCAACAAAGAAGGACCACUAGUUAAUUGAAGAAUUGGGUAUGUAGUCCAGUGUCUGAGCACUUUCCAUAGGGUGCAUAAGGCCCUGGUUUGAUCCCCAGGCACUACACACACACACACACACACACACACACACACACACACACACACACACACACACAGGUGUCAGAGAAAAAAAUUGCUAACUCGACACCAGAAAAGUUGCAUGUUUUGACUAAGUGAAACAUGACAAGGAACUUAGAGAGGUAUCCUUGAGAUAUCAGGUGUUAAUAUGAAUAAUAUGGCUGGCCUAUCUUGAAAGCAUUUGCGUGUGGGUGUGUGUGCACGUGUGCCCCCCCCUCCGUGUGUCUGCAAGUGCACACACACACAAGCAUGCCUUAAUGGGCCAAGGGAAAUUAGCGUUUCUAUAAAGAUCAUGAAUAUAUUCUUUCUGGGUUUACUUUUUUUUUUUUUUAAUUGGAGCUGAAGAGAAGGCUCAGAAGUUAAAAGCACUGGUUGCUCUUCCAGAGGACCCAGCUUUAUUCCUAGUACCCUCAUGGUAGCUCACAGCUAUCUAUAACUCCAGUUCCAGGACAUCUUAGGCACCAGGCAUGUGGUUCACAAACGUACACACAGACAUCCAUACACAUUAAAAAGUAUGUGGUAUGUGUGUGUAGGUACAUGUGAAGGCUGGAUGACUUUAUGGAGUUGUUUUUCCUUGUCUACCUUCAUGUGGAAUCAAUCCUGUGGCUCAACUUGGGUCUCCGGGCUACAGCAAGUAUCCUUACCCACUGAGCCAUCGAGAUGCUCUUCUGCAGUGUGUUUUAAUGUUUAUUUUGUAGAUACAGGAACAGGCUUCCGGCUGCUUUAGUAUGUGUUGUACGGUUGAAGUUUCAUUUAGUGUUUUUUUUGUUUGUUUGUUUGUUUGUUUUUUGUUUUUCGAGACAGGGUUUCUCUGUAUAGCCCUGGCUGUCCUGGAACUCACUCUGUAGAUCAGGCUGGCUUAGAACUCAGAAAUCCGCCUGCCUCUGCCUCCUGAGUGCUGGGAUUAAAGGCGUGCACUACCACGCCCGGCUCAUUUAGUGUUUUUUGUAGUUAUUCAGAUUUUAUUUCUUUAGGCUUUUAAUUGUUGACCACCCUGAGCUUUCAGAAUGGUCUUCCUUCUGGUAUGUCAUCUUCUGCUUCAUAGUAUUUGUAUUUUAUUAAAUUAAUAUAGCAAUUUCCAUUAUAUUCACACAUAGUUUCUGAAAUAUGCUUUUUGUAUUUCAUAAUUUUUUCUAGUGGUGUCAAACUAAAUGUUUAUCCUAGAAUUUUAAGGGUCUAGUUGCUCGUGGUAGCACAUGCCUUUAUUGUCCUUGCACUCCAGAGGCAGGGCAGAGGCAGAGGAAUGCCUGAUUUUGAAGGUAGUCUGCUCCUACCAAGUUCCAGGCCAUCCAAGAUAUGAAAAUAAGACUGUCUUUAAAAGCAAAGACUUUCCAUUAAAUGGUUAUUAUCUAUGCAAAACAGAUUUUUUUAGAUUGUAUAAAUUGUUUAAGUUUAUUGUGUGAAUUUUCAGGUGACUAGUGGAUUACUUUUUUACCCAGGAAAAGGACUUAAUAACAUUUUUUUAAUAUUGAGCCUGUUAGUGCACUUAUGUCAACAGUAGAACUGUCAUCAAAAUUUAAUACUGAGGUGCUAUGUAUUUUUGUAACAUUUUAAUGAAUAUUUUUAAAAAAUCAAUAUUCCAUAUAAUUAUAUUUUAGUAUAUAGAAAUUGAAUAUUAAUAGUUUUACUUGUCUCCCAAGAUGAGUAUCUUAAAGUUUAUUAUACACUUUUGUUUGUCUUUAGGCAAAGUGUCUUGUAGCCCAGAUAGGCCUAGAACUCUCCAUAUAGCUAAAAGGUGACCUGGAACUUCUUUGUGUCAAAUGCUUGGGAUAUGCCAUCAUAUCUUUGUUUAUAGAAACACAUCACUAAACUGUACUCCUUAAUUGGGAUUUUUCUGCAUUCUCUAGCAGAGGUCUCAACCCUGGCUCCUUGAGGAACUUUGGGAAUUUUAAUUCCAAUAGUUAAGGUUGUUCUUCAGAUUGAUUGAAUUGCGAUGGAUGAAGUGACUCUGCAAAGCCUCAGGAAUUGUUUUUCCUUUGGACUACUGACAAAACCUAUAACUGACUUUUGGAUAUGACUUUAUUACUCAGCAACUAAAAGAUGAGUUCUAAGUGCCAGACUUCUGGCACUGGCAUUGCCCUCCUGUUUCUAUAGAAACUGGGUUGGAAGUCAGAGCUGCACAGAGGGAAAGGGUAAGUUUCUUUUAAUUCCAUAUUAUAAACCCAUAUCUUACUAACUAUGGCCUGGUAUCAGUUUCCACAUAAGAGUGAGUAGUAAAGUGUUCUCAAAAAGAAACUACUAAUUUUCACUUGAGAGAAACUGACAUCAAGUCAUUAAACAUAAUGAGGGUUUAAAUAUGGAUUUAGUUUUCUAGUGACUCUGACUUCAUAUUUCUUAAAAGAAUGAACUAGGUCGAAUGGUCACUUUCAGUUUCUUUUUUUAAUUCAAGGGAGUCACAGUAUUGACUUUUACCCUAUUGUGUUAUACCUUUCUGAUAAGUGAAAAGUGGCAUAUAAAAUAUGUGUAGGGGCAUUGUAAAAGUCUAUAUGGAUUGUGUCUCUUUGUAGAGGUUCAGUUCUUUUUUUCCAUUGCAAAACAAGUUCUGCUCUACUGACAAGUUCUUAGCCUCCUCUCUCUUAGCUAAGUAGGAUGAGUGCCUCUUGGGACAUGUGCAUUUGUUCUCUACUAGGCAGAGCCUGUUAUUUGUAUAUUUUAAGAUACCCGCCAAUUGAUAAGUUGUCAUUCCUGUGGUUGUGGCUCCAGAGGGCUUUGCUAGACAGCUGUAGAAUUUAGACAUCAUGUUGGUUUUCUUGAUAGUACAAACUCCUAUGAUUUACAGGUUGGUGCAUCUAAAUAACAUUAAAAUGUGACUAGCUCUGAGAUAGAGAGGACAUUCUGAACUCUCACUUUAAAAAGUGAUAUUAGAGGAUAAUAUUAUAUACUAUUAAAGGACUAAAAUUAUCUUUUUCCCACUAAAAGAAUGUAAAAGUUAUGCAGACCAAAGCAGUCCUUGACUUUAUUUCCAUCUAGAUAUGUCACUUGUGGAAAUAGUGUAUGCUGUAAAAGUUGAUCAAGCAUGGUACACAUGUUGGUAAUCCCAAUAGUUGGAGGAUAAGGUUGGGGGACUGUGAGACUGAGGUCCGCUUAUACUACAUAAUGAAAUCCUAUCUGAACAAAGUUGGAGGUUGUCAGUGGGAAAAGUAAACUCAUUUUAAAAGAUUUUUACAGGUCUUUAGUUCAUGCCUGAAAGUGAACUAUUAAAAUUUUUUAUGAUUUUCACCAUUUUUGUUAUGCUAGCUGGGGCUUGUAUAAGGCAGAAACAAUUGAAUUUGUGAUUAUUAGGGGGAAGCAAGAAUUUGGAAAUCUAGAAAGUUUGGUGUACUGUUUGCUGUCAAGCAUCCAGACACAUCUAUUUCUUAGGAAUAGUCAGUUGCCCUCCUUUUAAAAUGAAAACUCUAGGAUCUCAGCAGACUGGAUGUGGUUAAGAGCAUUGGCUGUUCUUCCAGAGGAUCUAGGCUCCAUUCCUAGCAUCCAUCGUAGCAGCUCACACCAUUGUAACUCUAGUCUUAAGGAUCAGAUGUCCUCUUUGGCCUCCAUGGGCAUUGUAUGAAUAUGGUGAGCAAACAUACAUGUCACAGAACAUUCAUAGAUGCAAAAUAAAUCUUUAAAAAUCUAAGGAAUCAGCCGGGCGUGGUGGCGCACGCCUUUAAUCCCAGCACUCGGGAGGCAAAGGCAGGCGGAUUUCUGAGUUCGCGGCCAGCCUGGUCUACAGAGUGAGUUCCAGGACAGCCAGAGAUACACAGAGAAACCCUGUCUCGAACCCCCCCACCCCCCCCCCCAAAAAAUCUAGGGAAUCCCCUCACUUCUGACCAGCCCAGUCUCCCUGAUUCUGCUUCACUCUCUGCAUUCCUUAAAGGUCCUCACUAAAGUUGAGGGUUUUGUACUGUAGUCCUUGGGUUUUGUUUUGUUUUCUAGACAAGAUGUUACUUGUAAAAUCUAGGCUAGUCUCCAGUUGUUGACAGUUCUGCCUCACCCUUCUGAAUGCUGAGGUUGUGGGCAACAAGUGUAUCACCACACUACUACUAAGAUGUCACUGCUCAUUGUUCUCUGCUUGAAACGUUCAUAGUGUAAUGGCAUUUGCUGGAGUGAUUCAAUGUGUUGGAGCCUCAUUGUGUAGUACUCAGGCUGGGCUGGGACUCAAAGAUCCUCCUGUGUCAGAGUACAGAAAUUCCAGGGAACACCAUAGAUUUGCUUUUCUGUUUUGUUUUCAAUUUGUUUUUCUGUGUAUGAGUGUCUGUCCUUCUGUCUGUCUGCCUGUCUGCAUGUAUUUCUGUGUACCACACUGUGCCUAGUGCCUAAGUCAGAAGAGAGGCCAGCUUCUCUGAGACUGGAGUUACAGAUGAUUGUAAACUUCCAUGUGGGUUCUGGGAAUUGAACUUAAGUCCUUAAGUUCUCUGGAAGAGCAGCUAAUGCUCCAGCCCUAAAGCGUCAUCUCAAAUAAUUAACUUGGCCUGUAUUUCUUAGUGAUUCCUGGCAAAGCUUAGUUGUCCCUGACGCCCGCUCUCCCCCCACACGCUUAAUAAAACUUUCAUUUUAAACUGUUCUAAAAGCUGAUUGCGCAUAACUUGGUUAUCUUGAUUAAUUUGUUAUUGUUGUUUUUGUGUCUAUAUUAGGAACAGGUGCUAAAUGUGAGGCAACCUGGGUGAAAUCUUGUGGAAGCUGCAUUGCUGAUACACUGUAGCAGACAAUCUCAGUAAAGGCUGUGGUUUUAUUCUGAGGAGUGGGUUCAUUCUAGUCUAAUUUUAGGUUAGCUUUGAGCCAAAACAAACCUAUUGCCGUUUCAAUGAAGUUAAUUUUUAUAGUUUGUUGGUACCAAGAAGGAAAGAAUAAUCUAAAGGAAUGGGUGGUUUUUAUGUUAUUUGAGCUGUGACUUCUACUUACUUAAUAUUGUAUUUAUUUGGUUUUCAUAUUCAUUUGGAAAAUGGGCACUGUAGACAGUGCUUUUGAAAGUUGUGUGAAGAUAAAGAUUAGGCUAGGCUGCUUGCUGGGCAGUGGUGUUUCACACCCUUAAUCCCAGCACUGGAGGCAGAGGCAGGUGGAUCUCUGUGAGUUCAAGGCUAGCCUGCUCUACAGAAUAAUUUCAAGGACAGCCAGGGUUACAUUGAGAAAGCCCACCAAGCUUGAUAGCACAUACUUGUAGUCCCAGUGCCAAGAGGGUAGAGGUAGGAGGUUCUGAAGUUCAGGGCCGUGUUACUACUUGGUAGGAUGAAAAAUUUUAGUGUAUGAGAUUGAUAAAGCCUGUCUGAGUUAAGUCAAUGUGGAAUUCUUUUUAUAGAGAGAUUUGUUUAUGUUACGUAUGUUAUGUAUAUGAGUACACUGGGGCUGACACCACAGAAGAUCCCAUUAUAGGUGGUUGUGAUCCCCUAGUUGGUUGUGCGCCACUAGGUGGUUGCUGAGAAUUGAACUCAGGACCUUUGGAAAAGCAGUCAGUGCUCUUAACUACUGAGCCAUCUCUCCAGCCCAGUGAGGAAUUCUUUACGUGGUCUUACUUAAUAGACAGUUUUGAAGUUCAGAAAGAGUCCAGAUUGUUGAAGUCUUUUGAAAAUAAUUGCUGCUUCAAAUGGAAGGGGAAAUUCAGACCGGUUCCUAUUGGCUUAUCGUUUUAACAUAGAAGGCAGCAGAAAAGAAAGUAGUGAUUACUGUUUAUGAAGGAUAUUUUGCUUGCAAAGUUUAUUUUCAUCUUAUCCUCAUACUAUAAUCCAUAGGUAGGCAGGCAGGCAGGCAGGCAGGCAGGCAGGCAGGCAGUGGUAUCCUCAUUUUGCAGAGGAGAAAGUUGGGGCUCAGAUAUGUUGAACAACUUAGGAGAUCAUAUGGUAGAAAAUAGUAGAGCUGAGAUUUAUUACUGUUCCCUGCUUGUAAAAGUGGGGGGAGGUGUCAUAUUUUUGUUUCAGACUAUUUUUAUUUUAUGUGCAUGGGUGUUUUUUCUGCAUGUGUCUGUGUACCUUGUGCAUGCCUGGUGCUCAUAGAGGCUGGAAAAAGGCAUAGGAUCCCUACGUUUGGAGCUACAGAUUGUAUGUGAGAGCAUGUAAGUGGGUGCCUGCCAGAAUCUGGGUCCUCUCAUCUCUAUAAUAUGCCCCAUAUUCUUAUUUUUAUUUAUGUUUUGGCAUGUGUUAAAUUAAAAAAAAAAGAAUAUUAGACACUUUUUCUUAAAUGUAAAAACCUGUGGCUGGUUGUGAUGGUAUACACCUAUAAUUUUAGGAUGUUGAAGCAGGAUUGUGAAUUUGAGGCCACCUUGGUGUGUGUGUGUUCGUUUGUGUAUAUACCUUAUUUAACAUAGGUAAAAAAAUUGAAAUGUAAAAACUGCCUUUUAAAUAAGAGCAACUUACUGUCUUUGAGAUAGGUGAGAUUUAAGACUCAUUUGGUUACUUAGUUUAAAGCAGGCCUUGGACACAUCAUCUUGUAUCAACAAGACCAGUAGAGAAAAUUGUUGAGCUCAAUUUGUGCCCAGUUUAGCAUUAGGCAGGGAGCUGGGGAUGUAGCUUAGUGAUAGUGUGCUUGCCUGUGGUGAUAAUGGUUCAGUCUCCAGCACUGUAAAUAAAGGACAUUAGGUGAGAUUCCACAUGUUGGGCAUGAUGUUCAUUUGAGUACUGUAUGGGUUGUGUUGGAUUGUACUGGUAUGUAGGCAUGUGCCAGGUCAAAGAAUUGCAGGAAUUGCAGCAGAUAGUAAAGUUUGCACAAAGGCUUACUUGGAAAGUAUCAAAUAUGGUGCAUCUUGGAAACAAUUUCAAGCUUUCAGUUUAGGGUUUUUCUUUAUUAAGGAGCCAAUAGAUGUUUUAAAUACAGAAGGGUAGGAGUGCAAUAAUAAUAGUUGGAAUAUUCUGAAAUAAUAUAACUGCAUCAAGCCAGUCUUCUGACUGCUGGGAUUUCUGGUAUAUGCUACCAUGUCCUACUCAGAAAACCCUUUUUUAUCCCCUUAAACAGCCAAGAGUUCACUAGUCACAUGAAAAUACUUAGAGCAAGAACCAUUAUUAAUUAGCCAUAAAUGGCACACCUCUUUUUAUUUAAAUGUAUUUCCACCUAAAACCACCUCUUCAACUACCAUAUGAAACUUAUAGCUCUGAAGAGUCGUGUAGGUGCUUAAUGUAAAUAUUUUAGAUAAUUUAAUGUACUGGAAAGAUAAUACUGUUUAGAUGGACAGUAAUACCAUUCAAACGAUCAAAUAAAGAUUAUUUUAGCAAAUUUUAUUUUUAUUAGAUAGCAGUACACUAUAGAAAUCUAAAAGACAAAGUAAUAAGAAAACAAGAUUACUUAUAAUGAAUAAACAACAAUAAACUUUUUUGGAGAGGGUAUUAUUCUUGUCACUAAAUAAGGCUUUAUUCAGAUUCCAGAGAUCUAGUUAACCAAUGACUAUAUUUAAAUAAAAGAAAAAAAUAGUUUAUAAUUGUUACAUAUUUUGGUGACAGAAUUACCAUAGCACAAAUGAAAAAUUGGAUUGAUUUAUUACAGUACAUUCUGAUUUUCAUUUAAUAGUAAAGGAGCUGCUUCAAUGGAUUCAGUUUGUAGCCUGUUUGAUUACAUUUAAGUUGUUGCUCCUUUAUUACUCAUUUAUUACUCCUUCCACCAGUUGACAUUCCUGGCAGUGCUAAGAAAGUAGGAAGGAAUCUUAAAAACUCUAUGGCUUGCUUUCUUAACAAAGACUUUUCUUCUGAGCUUUUGCUUACAGUAGCUUGUUUAGAUUUUUGUUUGUUAGGCUCUUACUUGAUUGUAGUCCUCAGAAGGUCAGACUGUUUGCGUUUCCAUCUUUCAGCCAGUGGUACAAAAAAAAGGGAAACUGAAGAGAGGAUAUAGCAGGUGCCAGAGAAAUAGAAAGAGCCUGUGUAAGUCUGUGUGUAAUCAUAUAUCCAGCCUGCAAGGUAGGAAUGAUUUCUGUUAAUGAAGUGAUCCCUACUUUUGUUACUCUCAAACAAAUCUUAAGACUUUGAAGGAAAAUGUCUCCUGUUCUCAGUCCAUAUUGUGAGCCAUUGGACUUAAAUAGGGCUUCUCACCUGUCUUGAAACUGGAUCAUUUUAUCUGAAUAGAAACUUACAUUAUUAAAUACAAAAGUCAUUGUGGUCUCCAAAAACAUGUCUUAGGGUAGAAGAAACUGGAGAAAAUUAGGGACACAGCACUUCACUUUAUGGUGAUUAUUAGAGACUGCUGUUCCUUCUUAUAAGGAAAGUAACCGUAAAUAAGUCGUUUUGUUUCAAAGAAAAAAAGAGACUGAACCUUUACUGAGCCCUCAAAGUUUAUAGUUUUAGUGGAAAGUAGAUAGUAACCACUUAAAAUAUCUAUUUGGUAAAUUCUAUAAAGGAGUGGGGGCUGUGAUCACAUGAGAAAGAACUGCUUGAUAAAUGUGCUAAACCAAAAAGCAAAGGAGUUCUUCCUGAAAAACUGCCUCUGAGCUAUAUUCCUAACUGGAUGCUCUUUAAAAUAAGAACAAGAGAAGCCUUGAAAUCUUUUGGUCAAUGGCAUCUAUUAGAACUUAAGUAAAACAUCUUCUUAAAAGUGUUUGUUUCACUGUGCGAUAGCAAGAAAUCAAUAUUUAAAUGUCCAUAUAAAAAGUCUAUACUCGCCAGGCCUGGUGGUGAACGCCUUUAAUCCCAGCACUCAGGAGGCAGAGGCGGGUGGAUUUCUGAGAUCAAGGCCAGCCUGGUCUACAAAGUGAGUUCCAGGACAGCCAGGGCUACACAGAGAAACCCUGUCUCAAAAAACAAACAAACAAACAAAAAGUCUGUACUCUGAAAACAUCUUAGUGUUAUAAAGAUAAUGAUAUGUAUGCUUGUUUGGUUCUGGGAUUGCAGAUGAUAUUACUGGUGAAGAGAGGGGUGGAAACACUCUCUGCUUACAGGGUUUUUUUGUUUGGUUAUGUUUUGUUGUUAUUGUUGGUUUUUUUUGUUUUGGUUUUUUUUUAUUUUUUUUUGGUUUUUUUUUUUCCCACCCCCAACUCCCAUUUAGUGUAAUUGUUUAUUGCCAUUUCUUCAUUUUCUUGUUUAGCUCUGACUUCCAGGGUUUGAAGUUUUGUUUUUGUUUUUAAGUUUUAAUUUAUGUAUUAGUUAUGAGUAUACUGUUGCUGUCUUCAGACACACCAGAAGGGGGCAUCAGAUCCCAUUACAGAUGGUUGUGAGCCACCAUGUGGAUGCUAGGAAUUGAACUCAGGACCUCUGGAAGAGCAGUCAGUGCUCUUAACUGCUGAGCCAUCUCUCCAGCCCUAUGAUUUUUUUAUUAGUUGGCUCUGGGUAUUGAUUGAACCCAGGGCUUCAUGUACAGACAUGGCAAACCUAUGCUUUACUACUUAGCUAUACUCCAGCCCCUUUUUAUGGUGGUUUUAUGUUUCCUAUAUUUUAUGUAAUACAUGAAUUGGCAUGUAAAUUAUAGCCCUUUAAAUUCAGCUAACUUUAGGAAUUUGUUUACUGAUUCUUGAUUUGAUUAGUGACCUCUCAGUUAAGUUUCUUGGGGACUAAUGAAGGAGUGGAGUGAGGUCAGCUAGGAUGAUAAGUCUUUGUGUUCUAUGAACAUGAAUGACCUAUAACUCCCUAAGAAACAGGUGACUAAUCUGAGCUAGGGAAUUUUCUAGAAAGGAGGGAAGAUGGAGCAGGACUACCUCCUCUGUAUGUGUAUAUGUCCUGUGACUUUCUGAUGGUUAUCAGAUGUUAGCAUUAUUGGAAAGAACUGGGGGUUCUUGCUAGUGAUGUUGAUAGUGCUAGUAGACAGGAGCACAGAUGGCAGUUAGUUCAGAGCAAAUCAUUUCUAAGCUUUUCUUUUACACACACCUUUUAAAGAGAAUGUUAUGUCUGAAACAUUAGGGCUUAAAAUAUUUUAAUAUUUUUAUCAGAAAAGGGAGUCAUUUGACAUAUUUCAAGUUGGAUGAAAUAAUUUGCUUUGAAUAUUCUACCUAUUUAUACUUGUUAAUUGAGAUGCUAAUAUCUUUAAAAUUCUAAUUGAGAUCCAGAGCCAAAUCUUUAAUUUUUAAUGGUAGACAAAGGUUCACUACUCCAAGUUUUAAUACUAUUCAAGAUUGAAUUUUUGCCUAAAAUUUUUGCCUAAGUGGCCCCUAGUUUAGGCCCCUAAAUCUGAGCUUGAUUGUUAUGGCUAAGAAGGGUUAUCGAAGAUACCUAGUAUUGCAAGUAUUGUGUUUAACACAUGCUGAUAAGGUGUGAAUGGGACCCAAGUCUGAACAGAAAAUUCAUUUAUGUUUUGUGUACUUUUUAUACACAGCCUAAAGAUAAUUUUUAAAAAUGUGUUCAUCUUUUUAUGUUUGUAUAUUUUGCCUGUGUGUGUGUGUGUGUGUACACGUGUGCAUGCAUGCAUGCAGGUGUAAAAUGUGUGUAUGUAUGUAGGUGUACCACAUACAUGCUUGGUGCCUCAGAGAUCAGAAAAGGGUAUUGGAUCCUGUGGACUGGAGUUACAGAUGGUUGUGAAGCACUGUAUGGAUUCUGAGAACUGAUCUUGACCUUCUGCAAGGGCUAUAUACAAAUGCUCUUAACUGCUGAGCCAUCAUCUCUCUCACUAAAGAUAAUUUUAUGUAAUAUUUUUAAUAUUUUUGUGCAUGAAUCAAACUUAUGGUAGGAAAAUUUGCCACUAUGACAUAGCACUCCCCCACCAAAGAUUUAUUAUUUUGGAUUUUAAGAUAGUCAACCAAUAAACUUUGCAUAAGAUUUUAUGAGUUAAGUUGUGGAAAAGGAAUUUAAUAUGCUCAGAAGUAUUCAUUACCAUGUGUUUCAGAAUUUGUUUAAGCAAAUAAUUCUUUUAGGGGGCUGAUGAGAUGGCUUUACAGGUAGGCUCUUGCUACAGAGCCUAGCAGCCUGAACUUUAUAUCCCUGGGACUUGUGAUGGAAGAAGAGAACUGACUCCCCAUAGGCUGCUCUCUGUCAGCACACAUGUUCACACACAUAUACUCACAAAGUAAAGAAACAAAGAAGAAAAAAGGAAUCCUGUUAGGCUUGCUGUUAGGUUUCCAUUUAUCAACAUGUUACAACUUGAAAUAUACCCAGGAAGUCCUUAUCCCAAAGCUCCUUGGUACUUCAACUAUGAAACUGAAAAUUCUGAGACUGGCCUGUUUAAUGAGAGCUUCCUCUGUUGGGUAGGAGGCAUAGUGGCAAACUUCCAAGGUGUAUGGACACAGUGAUUUUAUUUCUUUAUUUUGAGAUGUGGGUCUCACCAGAUAGACCCAGUUGGUGGCCUAGAGCUAGCUGUCUAGACCAGGGUGACCUCAGUCUCACAGAGAUCUAUUAGCUCUGCCUAUCAAGUACUGGAAUUAAAGGUGUAUACCACUAUGCCUGGUAAGACCCUCAUCUUUUUGUCUCUCAGGGCCACUGGUUGGGUAUAGCAGUUUUAUCUCUUGGUUGUGUUGUAAAAUAUUUAUGUGUUCUGUAUAUGCCAUUAAAUGAAUAAAUCUUGGGAAAUGUGUGUUAGCAAAUUAAAAUCUUGGGGCCUUUUUAAGAUAGGAACUCACUGAAGGCCCCAAGAUAGAAAUUUACAGUAAGAUUUAGUAGGGCCACUUAAGCAUUGGCUUUGUGCUCUGUUUUAUUAGAGGAUUAGCAUUUUGACACUCUAGUCUUGGCUUUUGCAAACCUUUUAAACCACAAUAGAGCCAUUUGAAAUUUAUUUUUGAUGUUUUCAUAGAUAUUCAUCAAUCUUAGGAAUGCUGAGUCAGAGUGAAGCUGGCUGGGUGGUGUGGUUGGAGGGAAAUUAACCACCUGAUAAUGAACAGUUUACAAAUUCUCCAGCGUUAGUGUAUUCCCUUUUAUUUGUCCAGACAGAGAACUUUGCUCUGCCAUCUCGCUUGUCUUCCAUUCCUUCUAGUCUCCUCACUGGAACUAUAACAGACCAGAAGCUUGAGUUAUCUUUUCUCCUAAGAAAUUCUGUAAGUCAGCAUAACUGAUAAAACUUUUGAAGUUAAUUUGGUAAAUGGUAGAGCAAGGGAUCAGAAGUUUUGUUCAAUAUUGUAUUUGAACUGAAGCUAGACUGGAAAUAGGAAUAGCCUGCCAGUUUAUAACAUAGCUUUCCUGUUAAAGGGACUGAAACCUCUCCUUGGUUGGAUUUCUUUUCCUGUAAUACUCAGAGCUAGUAAAAGAUUACCAGUUUCUCUGUCGUCUUUGACUUAUAAUCUUAGCACUUAAAAAGUAGGAGAAUCUUGUGUCAGGGUCACUCUGUACUACAUAGCAAGUUCUAGGCAGCCUGCACUAUACAAUGAGACCUUGUCUUAGAAAACCAAAAAGAAUUUAAAGGUUUUCUUAGCGUUUGUCCAAAAUGGUUUGUCUUAUGAAAUGACUGAUUAACAUUUGAAUUGUCCCAUACCCAUUUCAAGUUAAGGAAAUAGAUGAGUUAGGGUUAUAUCUAUUUCAUCAGAUGUUCAGUAUUGGAUGUAAAAGAAGGCAGAUUCCAGAGUUUACUAGAAAUAUAGCAAGGUUUCAAAUAAUAAUUCCUAUUUCCCCACAGCCUUUCAAAGCUAAAAUCUUGGUGCUAAGGUGGAAUUCUGGAUGUUAUCUACCAGCAUAAACCUAGCAGGUUUGAAUGCACUGUGACUUUUAACCUACUCUUAGUCUGCUAAACACCCUCAGCUAGGAAGCUGGGUCUGAUUUGAGCCAUAUUAUUAAAUAAAAUUGGAUUUCAUACUAGUUAUAGAGAAGGAUAGAAAGAAUCUGGUUGGAGAGGAAAAAGGUAAUGUUGUGGGGAGGAGUACAUGUGGGGAGUGGGAGGCUUUUGGCUUCUUGUCCUUUGAAUUCUUGCCUUAAGGAAUUUUGCUGCUGCUAUAUUUCUUGUCAUAGUCAUAAUGAUAAAUUAUAUAAUUAUAUUGCCCAUGUGAUCGCUAUAGAUUUUUUUAAUUGUGUAGUUUUGUUAAAAAUUACAUGAUUUCUAUGGUUUUCUUAUGCUUUUUUUCUUUCCUAGAAUUAUUAAAAUGUUGUAAAGAACUAACUUUUCUUUUCUUUUUCAUUCCCAUACAGGAAAGAAAAGUAUAUUGUUUAUUUACUCAUUGGUACCAUUUUAAACAAACAUUUUGACUGAGGAUUUACUGUUUGCCAGAUUCCUACUUAAAUAUGCCUAUAUUCUUUUAUAGGAAUUUCAGCUUUUCAUUUGUUAAUAGAUAUGGGUAAGUAAAAAUGAGAAUCUCUUACAGCUUUGAAGAUUACCAAUACACAUUUAGAUUUAAAGGUAAAAAUCAUAGUUUCCCAUACCUCUUAAUAAUCAAGUUACCUGUUUUUAGUUUAGGUUUUCAAGGGCUUCAUGUGCAUUAGGUAAGUGGUCCACCCAUGAGUUACAUCUGCAUUCCAAAGAACUGAGUUAAUCUGAAAGCCAACAUUUGUAGUAUUUCUUUGGUAGUUGCUGCUAAAGUCAGAACUUGGAAAGAGAUCUAAUGGUCUUUAUAAAGUUGUCUUUAUCAUGCCAUAGAGGAAUGAUUUAGAGAAAUCAGAGAACUCCGCGAAACCUCUCCCUUUAACUAGGUGCUUAGCCACAUAACAUCACUCUUGGUGAGAUAGCUUCCAUUGUGUAUUAUGAUUAUCUUACUUGGGAUGCUGUGAACAACAGACUCCUAGACUAAAAAUCAGUGAAGGCCUUAAUGCUAGCCUAACCACUACCUUUGACUUGUUAGAAAAUGUAUGACUGUCCAAGUAAAUUCUUAGGAUUAGUGGAUACAGGAGGUCCAUUUAUCCUUACAUAUAGUUCUAAGUAUUCUAGACUUUGGGUAAGAAAAAUCUAUAAAGAUUUUUUUUUUCUGAUUUAUCGAAAGCAAAUUUAUAAUGCAUUAGGUGUGUACAUGAAAGUAUCACAAUAAAAUGAUUCUGUUUUCUAA